ACUAAAACAAAAGCGCCUGGACUGAAACUUAAAAAAGUUUUAGUUGACGAGGGACAGGGUUAAUCGAGAUAUCGGCGGGUGCCCUGCGGUGAUUCACCAUCGAUAGCGGAUCUACAAAAUUAUCAAGUGAUUGAUAAUACAAAAGGAUCUAAGUGAAAAAG
rnacentral:ncRNA from 1 species